CCUCAUGCUGUGUGUGAUUCUCCCCGUGUCUUCUGACAGGUGGCUGAAGAGCCGUCGCCAAGACCUGACAGAGAGUAAAGCAGAGCACUGCUGUUAUCUAGGGCUGGGACCUGCAGUACACUGGCUUGUGUACACACAUUGUGUGAUGAACUUCUCAGAAACUGUUUGCUUGAUGCUCAUUUGUGUCUGUAGCACUAACUAGAUCCUGAAGUACCACAACUAUUACUCAUGAACAUCUGCACCAAAAAUGCUGUUUUGGAUUGUUUGGGGUCACUUUACCCACUAAGUGUGAUUUGUAUGCAAUAAAGAUUGGCGAU